rnacentral:lncRNA from 1 species
UGUAAUAUGCUUCCCCCUGAACAGAUCUCUCCCUCCCCCCUCUCCACCCCCAAAAUGCUUAAAAGGUAACCUGACUCUUUGUUCUGGGCUCAGUCCUUUGGAUAUUAAUCUGACUGGGUUGGCUGGUGCACCUAAAUAAUACAUAUAUCCUCCUCAACCCCAUCGGUCUCUCUGAUUCCUAAAUCAUCCCCAAACAUUUCUGGUGGCCCAUAUGGGGAUUGGAGAUAACAGAUUUACUGUCUCCUUUGCCCAUGGGACUAGGGCCCUGGGGCUGUGGAAGACCUGGCAUCCAAGGCAUGCCAUGGGGGAGUUUCACCCGGAUGGAGACUGGCUCUCCCCGCAUCCUGCCCAGCAGUGCAACUGAACCUGAGAUGGGGCUGCAGGAUGACACCAGCACUUCAGGAACCGCGGAUAAGUCAAGGCCUUCCUCACCGGGACAGAGAAGGAACUAGAGGUGACCAAAGUGUUGUUAAAAGACAUUAUUCCCAGAUUUGGACUGCCUCUAACUCUAAGAUCUCACAAUGGACCAACAUUUGUGGCUGAAAUAGUUCAGGACUUAACUUGACUAUUAAAAAUAAAAUGGAAAUAACAUAUAGCCUACAGACUGCAGAGCUCAGGUAAAGCGAAGAGCAUGAACCAGACACUAAAACAACUGCUGAAGAAAUUGUGUCAAGAAACUCAUCAAAGGUAGGAUCAGGUCUUGCCCAUGGUCCUCCUCCAAGUCAGGUGCACCUCCACCAAGCAAACUGGGUAUUCCCCCUCUGAGAUUUUGUUCAGCCGGCCACCCCCCAUCAUCUGUAGACUAGAAGAAGUAACUUUAAGAAGGCAAAUGCAGACUUUAAGUAUGGCCAUGCAAAAAUGCAUGGCUAGGUAUAGAAAAAUGCCUAUAAGUCUAACAGACCCAGUACACCCUUUCAAACCUAAGGAUUUUCUUUAAGUUAAAAAAUGGAAUCCAACCACUCUAGGACCCAUACAGGAUAGGCCUCAUAUUGUAAUCAUGUCUACUUCUACUGCUG